rnacentral:rRNA from 1 species
UGUAACGGAGGCGCCCAAAGGUUCCCUCAGCCUGGUUGGCAAUCAGGUGUCGAGUGCAAGUGCACAAGGGAGCUUGACUGUGAGACUGACGGGUCGAGCAGGGACGAAAGUCGGGACUAGUGAUCCGGCACCGGCAUGUGGAAGCGGUGUCGCUCAACGGAUAAAAGGUACCCCGGGGAUAACAGGCUGAUCUUCCCCAAGAGUCCAUAUCGACGGGAUGGUUUGGCACCUCGAUGUCGGCUCGUCGCAUCCUGGGGCUGGAGUAGGUCCCAAGGGUUGGGCUGUUCGCCCAUUAAAGCGGCACGCGAGCUGGGUUUAGAACGUCGUGAGACAGUUCGGUCUCUAUCCGCCGCGCGCGUCAGAAACUUGAGGAAGGCUGUCCCUAGUACGAGAGGACCGGGACGGACGAACCUCUGGUGUGCCAGUUGUCCUGCCAAGGGCACUGCUGGUUAGCUACGUUCGGAAGGGAUAACCGCUGAAAGCAUCUAAGCGGGAAGCCUGUUCCAAGAUGAGGUUUCUCACCCCCUCGAGGGGGUAAGGCCCCCCACAGACCAUGGGGUUGAUAGGCCAGAACUGGAAGCGCGGUAACGUGUGGAGGUGACUGGUACUAAUCGGCCGAGGACUUACCAAC